rnacentral:rRNA from 1 species
AUUGAACGCUGGCGGCAGGCCUAACACAUGCAAGUCGAGCGAGAGGCGGACGGGGGUGAAAAGCAUGGGGACUGCCCGAUAGAGGGGGAUAACUAUCGGACAAGGUGGCAAAUACCCCAUACCGUCGGAUAACCCAUAUGGGAUUAGCUAGUAGAUAAGGUAAUGGCUUACCUAGGCGACGAUCCCUCGCUGGUCUGAGAGGAUGAUCAGCCACACUGGGGCUGGGACACGGCCCAGACUCCUACGGAGGCAACAGUGGGGAAUAUUGCACAAUGGGCGCAAGCCGGAUGCAGCCAUUCCGCGUGUAUGAAGAAGGCCCUAGGGUUGUAAAGUACUUUCAGUCGGGAGGCGUUACCGGCAGAAGAAGCACCGGCUAACUCCGUGCCAGCCGCCGCUGUAAUAC